rnacentral:tmRNA from 1 species
GUCAGGACUGAGAAAACGAAUAGAACACUACGCCCGUAGAAGCCCUGAUUUUGCUCUAGAGGACCCGGGUUCGAUUCCCGGCACCUCCACCA